rnacentral:rRNA from 1 species
AUCGUUAACGAACGAGACCUCGACCUGCUAAAUAGUUCGACAAAGGAUUCUUUCUUUGGACGUGACUUCUUAGAGGGACUAUCGGUGUGUAGCCGACGGAAGUUCGAGGCAAUAACAGGUCUGGGAUGCCCUUAGAUGUUCUGGGCCGCACGCGCGCUACACUGAUGCAUUCAUCGAGUUUACAACCUUGACUGAGAGGUCUGGGUAAUCUUCGCAACAUGCAUCGUGCUGGGGAUAGAUCAUUGUAAUUAUUGCUCUUCAACGAGGAAUGCCUAGUAAGCGCGUGUCAUCAGCACGCGUUGAUUACGUCCCUGCCCUUUGUACUCACCGCCCGUCGCUAAUACCGAUUGAAUGGAUG